UUCGACGGUGUCCCAGAAUCAAAUAGAUAGCUGAAAAUUUUAGGCUCCCUAAUAUAAGUUAUCUUUAAAUGCCCGACAGGUGGCGAAAACAAGCUGUGCUGUAUUUUUCUACCACGCGAUGACACUGUCGUCGAUAGUGCUUAGAUCAGGAGAGCUUAUAUAAAGAGUGGCACCGCAAAGUUAAGUUCUUUUGGGGUUAGAAUCUCGGCGAUAGUGCAGUAAGUAGUUUUAUUCUAUUAGGCGAACAGUUUUUUUCUAAAGUUUGUAAUACAAUUUAGAAUGCAUAUGAAUUAACUUUUGGACUAAAAACGCAUGCAAAUUUUCAUACUUUGCUGUGAAAAGUCACUUAAAAUCAAUUAUAUGACGAUUGUUAUUUCCAACGUAUAGUCGUGUUAAGGGAAUUUUCUGUAUGAGAUCAUUGUCAAUUGAGAUUGAAUAGUAAUGUGAAGGUCAGUUAACGGUAUGGGGAGAAAUUUUCUUUGUGAUUGUCUUAUUCCUAUUUUUGAUCAAAAUUGUAAGCAAAAUGUUGAGGAUUAAUUGGUUGGCAUUUCAAUAGUUUAUUCCGCAAGUUUGUUCUUCUCUCCAAGUUUCCAUGAUGCUGCAAUUCCUGUUGGAGGAUUCGUGACAAUGGGUUUGCAACACCGAUAUUAUUGAGGGGGUGAUUAAUUUGUGUUUCUAGAAGUAAUCCUCCAUUGCAUAAGCAAUUACAUGUGCUAUGUAACCUGUUAGCUAUGGUGUUGGAAUGAUAUUGUAUAUUUAUUGAAAACUGGCUGACUGAUACUUUACAACACAUUAAGUUGUUUCACUCUUAUUAGUUGAACCUGCCACAUGUUAAAGGUACCAUUAAGCAUUUAAAGUAUUUUAGCAUAUGAUUGCUUAAUAUUUCUUUGAGAAUUUUCUUUCAGGUUGGAAGAAUAUAUUAAAGUUAGUGUCUUUUUCACUAUUUGAAGGUAAGUUUGUACAGGGUAAUAUUAUCAGUAAUUGGGUGAUUUGAACCCUAUGCAAAUUUUCAGAUUGUUUAAUUCUGCUGUUAUUGUUUAAAUGGUUAUAGGUGAUCAGGUAGUUAAAUCAAUUAGGUAGUUACUGUGAUUUGCUUUCUAAAAUUGAAUCAUGUUGUGAAGUGUAGUUAUUGGUUGGGGGAGAAACUUACUUUGUUCUGACCUGAUAGUUAUUUUGACAACUCUUAAUGUAGGGUGAUUGGUGAGGCCUUAGUUGAUUGUAACAAUUUUGAAAUUGGCCUGUGUGAAUGUUGAUGUUGAAGGUGUUGAAUUGGUGAAUGAAUUGUUUAAUAGGGUAGUCCUCCAUUGCAUUUCCCUGUUCUAUCAGAUCUGCAAUUCUUAGUUAUGUAACAAUAUCCAAAUGAAAUAGCAGACGAGUAGAACCGAAACUUAAAGAGCAAGCAACCUAAUGACAUGCUUUACAGUGUUAGCUGAGCUAAAUAUGUCGAAGGUACCAUUGGAAUGGUUUAAAUUUCUAAUAUACAUUUGUUUUAUCAGGCCUGAAUUGCAGCCCAUUUCAAGUGAUACUUUAUCUAAAAUGUUAUUUCAUUUCAGAUUUCAAACAUUGGUUCUGUGGAUUGAAUUAGCAUUUCACUUUUGUGGGUAAUUUAAUUUUAAAAUUUAAUUCUAAAUCUCUGAAAAAUUUGACAGGUCAAGUAAAUUGUCAUUUAUUGAAGAUGCUUUUUUCUCAGGGUUGGAAUGACGAACGAGUUGGCAAGUUGUGCAAGGCGAGUUUAGCUAUUCGUCAUCUUUUAUUAUUACACUAUUGCACGUAUAUUUGUUUUUUUGAUGCAGAUUUUGGGUGGGUUAGGACUGAGCUUUGUUAAAGUAUUUAACUGAAAGGUUAAAUUUUUUUAUUCACGUGGAGAAUCAAAUAUCACAUGUCACAAUCUAUCUGUAUUUUAGGUGGUUCGGCAUCAGCGAAUGAUAGUCCCGACUGUUAGUAAAUGGAUCUUGGAUUUACUACAAUUUCUGGUGAUACUACGGUGAUUAUUCAUCGGCGGGGUUUGUUAACUGAUUUAAAAUACACAAAGUAAAUAAAGUUAAACGAAACGAUAAUCCUGCGAUCAACGUAUGGUCGUUGCUUGUUAUGAAACCGAAAAGCAUAGUGAUACAUACUCUGAAAUGAAGUCGCUGGCAAAUGUAGCAAUGUCCAAAAAUUUCCCUACACGUAAAUUUUUUCCCAUGUUAACAUUUUUAUAAAAAAGGAUGAUUGUGUGGUUUAUUUAUUUUUCUUCAGCCAUGUUACUUCAUGACUUGUGAUAAAACCGUAACGGAUAAUGCCGUAAUGUUUGUCUCAAACAUAUUUUAUACAUUUGUUUUUAAUCAAAUGAUGAAUAUAACGUGUGAUGAAAUGUUAAUAAACAAAAUCUGAAAUUACCUUA